rnacentral:lncRNA from 1 species
CACAAUGUCUUUUUCACUCUCUUUGAUAUUUGGAAUCAAAAACCUGCAAGGACAAAGGACGUUCGGUGGAAUAAUGUUAGAAUGAAGUGAAUUUAGAACUUCCUCACCUGAGUUGGAUGACAUAGGGACUUGAGGAGCUUGCAGCAAGAAUUCUUCUAAACUGCCCAGGUCGUCCUCCUCCUCUUCUGCUUGCAGCAGCAAU